rnacentral:lncRNA from 1 species
AAACACAUUUAUUUAUUCAACAUACAGUUGAAGCUUUCUAGUACACAUGUUUUUUUUCUGUUUGCAUGGAAAAACUAUACUAACACAAACUAUUGUUUUCCUCCAGAGUACAUAUUUCAGUAUAGAAAAAUACCAAAAAAAAUUUAAGUUGUGGAUUUGGCUCUCUUUACCGGAGCUUGAAGGGAAUUUAGAUAAAUGGCAUCUUUUUUGUCCAAUCCAUCAAACAGAUAACUAUAAGGAGGCAUUUCUAUGUAUUUUCCAGUACCAGGAGUAACCUUCAGUUCAUUAUUUUCCCAAACAACUCUUCCUCUUGAUAUAGUCACUUCAAUUUUCCCCUGUAAAUAUUCAUAAAAUAAAUAAUUUGAAUCUCAUAUACAUAAACAAGGCUUCAGUUAUUGAACAAUUUACAAAGAAGCAUACGUUGAAUCUCGAUGUAGGACAACAAAACACUAAAUGUACCACUGACACGUCAGAUUUAAGGUGUGUCUGGUGUCUAACACCGACACAUGUGAUUAUAUUCAAGUACUUUUUUUUCUUCUCAAAUUAGUAGUUUAUGACUGAUGUUGACAUGUCAGUGUCGUGUCUAGUGUCUGUCUCUGUGUCGGUGUUUUAUAGAGAUGGUCGGUGACAAACUUAUGUUGAUGAAUUUCAAUCUCAACAUUAACUAAACUAGAAUAUAGUUUAAGCAACCCCUACCUUUCCUUUUCUUCCCUCAUACACAUUCGUGUCCGAUCUGGAGUGGUGAGAUUUUGCAGUUAUCUCAAAACUUGAGUUUGGAUUCAGGAUGAUAAUAUCUGCAUCUGAUCCUGGAAGAAUAGCUCCUUUCCUCGGAUAUAUAUUGAAGAUUCUAGCACUAAAAUUAUUGUACAAGUAAAAACAACAUUAAUAUUUUUUGCAACUUUAUGAUCAAAUUAAUGAUAAGAAUAAUAAAAAUAGUCUAAUUUUUCCUUAGAGUAAAUCAAUAUUUUAGUCCUUGAAAUUGUAAAUAUUGGAGCAUUUAGUCCCUCAAAGUUGCGAAAUAUCGAAGAACUUACCAUUCAGUGCUUGUCAAUCGGACAUAGUCAGUGACCGAUAUUUGGCCAGAUUCCUGAGAGAGAGAUAUAACAAUGAAAUCUAGUUAAAAGACUAUCCUAUCCCUUUCAACCAACCUAGCAAGAAUGAAGAAAUGGAGGACAGGGUGGAAAUUUAUUAUCAUACCACCAUGAUGUCCCAUACCAAGUGCAUCCUUUCUUCAAUACCUAUAGAUUUUGAGUUGCAAUGCAUAUCAGUAAAUAGAACAUUUCAAAAUCAACCAUAAUGUAUGUAGGCCGCAUACAUACAAAACCACUGAGUGAUUACCAUUGACACCAUUCGGAAUUUUGCGGAAGUCAUCAAUUCCAAGAGCUUUUUGAGUCGAAUUCCAGGUACAAUGAUCAGUUCCUACCAGCUGCAAAGUUUUAAAAGAUAUCAUUUUGUCAAAUGAAAAAUCUUAGUGAAGAGAAUAAAGUUAGGCUUAGAACAUAAUCCCUCCGGUAUCAUAAAUAAGCAAAUUUUAACUUUUUAGCUUCAUUCAAUUAUCAAUGUAUCUGAUUCAUUCAAUUAUGAACCAGAUACAUAAAUGAUUAAAUAAACCUAAAACAGGCUUGGAAGAUUUAACAACCGUGACACUAAUAUAUCAGUCCUUUGUUGAAAUAUAUGGAGAAAAUUCAAUCAUAGAAAAAAUUUAGAUGUGAAAACCGUUAUGAGACUUUUUAACACACCCUCUCGCGCCCAACACUAUUGGGCUUGAUGUGCAGAUAUAAAUGGUGGAUGACCCGAUCAGAAACCUGAUAGGGGACAGUAUUUUAGAAUUGAGAGUUGGGUCUAACUCAACACUAGAAAACUGGGUUGUAAUGUGAGGAUUUCCCUCGAUUAUAAACAUAUAUGCAGGCCAUCUCGCAACCAAUGUGAGACAUUUUAACACAAUUUUAUGCUCACUUCGAUAAAUGUAUGAUACAUCUAAUAUUUACACUCAAAAACAGUCAAUUAGAUGUGAAACCUGCAAAACCCCAGUUGCAAGGGCAGCUUGAAGGGCCUUAUCAUGUCCUUUACUCCUAAUAGGAGGACUCAUAAGAUACCUGAACACAUGAAAAUGACAUAAGGCUUAUGGAUUCAUAAAAUUUAAGACGAUAAAAGAUUAACAACUAUGGAAAACAAUGAAACAAGUGAAGGCACUUGCUUUGCUGCAGUCACAAAGUCAGGAUGCCAAAGCCAAGAGUCAUCAAGGGCUAAACCAGAGGCAAUAGGUUCUCCGAUUACCCGUUGUCCUGCAGUUUAAAAACAAACACGUAACCUCUCUGAAAUCAAGUUUCUAGAGAACAAAACACAUAAAACGUCAGACGUCAGUGUAACAUAUGGAUUACUCUUCUGUGACAGUUUCAAACAAGAAAGGAAUCUAUUAGGAUAUAGAAUAUAGGAUUUUUUUUUUGACAGAGAAUAUAUGAUAAUUAAAAGGAAGAACCUAACCUGAUUUCCGAGCCUUCGCAAUUUCUUCCAUUGCAUCAAUGCUCAUUACAUGAACCACAUAUAAAGGAGUGUUCACAAAAUCUGCUAAGCGUAUUGCACGAGAUGUCGCCUCUCCUUCCAACUACAUAGGUACCAAAGUCAAGUAGGUAAGUUUGUAAUCCAUUAUACUAUUAUCUAGUGUUUUAUCGUAAAUUUUGUUACUAAAGAAAAAAUAACGACAACUUACAGCUGAAGGCCUUGAAAGAGGAUGCCCUUCAGGACCUGUUAUUCCAAGUUCUAUCAUUUUCUGUUGCCCAGCAUCCACUGCAUCACCAUUUUCUGCAUGGACCAUGGCUAAGGCACCAAGAGACUUGCACUUCUUUAAUCCUUGCAGAAGAAGUUCAUCAUUGACCAUAAUGAUUCCUUUGUAUGCCAUGAAAAACUUGAAAGAGUUGAUACCUGAGAUUAAAAAAUACAAACGAAUUACCCGAAAUCAAUUCCUCAAAACUCAUCUAAAGGGUUUAUUACUUGAUAUUAGAACAGCAACCCUAGUUCAAAAGUAAACAGAUAAGAAAAACGCAAACAAAGAACACACGGUAUUCAAACAACAACUCUACGUCUCUAACUACAGAGCGGUUGCGGUACCUUUCAUUGCUCAAGCUCAGGGUUUACAGAGUACAACUUGUGUUUAAAUACUAUGAUACAGAUACAGUAUACAAGAUUACCACCUCCCCACGUAAUCAUAAAGCACGAGAAGGAAAUAAAUUUUGACCUUUCUCCUUGACCAUGAUCUCCAUAUCCCUUGAAACAGAUUCAUCCCAUUUGGUAAUUGCCACAUGGAAGCCAUAAUCCAUACAAGACUUCUUUGCCUUGUUUUCAUAGACUUCAAGACCAGCCGUUAAAUUUCCAUUAACUGGUAUGACGAAGUCAAUGUGCAUUGUUGUUCCACCAGCUAAUGCUGCAGCCUCACCACUGAAGAAGUCAUCUACUGUUGUAAUGCCUAUUGCAUCCAUUGCUAGGUGAGUGUGAGGAUCAAUGCCUCCUAUGAUCGGUUCAAAAAUCAAGCAUUCACAAAGUAGACGAUAAUAUUAAUAAUGAUAGUAAUAGUGAAUUAUUGUAUAGAGGUGUUAGAUUACAACUCUAAGGCUUAACCUGGCAUGACAAACUUGCCGGUGGCAUCUAUCACAUACACAUCAUCUCCAACCUGACAAUAGGAAUUACAGAAGAAACGGAUCAAACAAUACAUAUAACAGAAAACACAAAGUAAUAAAACUUUGGACACAUUUUAGUUUAAAACUCGGUAUCCGGCCCAGUGACCGACUAAUCUAAGGGAUACAAUCCCACCAUUCACUAGCGAGGGGAACAUUUGAAGCCAGAGCUUUUGCUCUAUAUGGAUUGGCCCAACACAAGAAGUGACACUGGGAAGAUUUGAAUCCGAGACCUUGAAAGGAGCAUACUCAAAGAUCUCAAACCUUCACCAUGAGGUCAACCCAUGUGGGUUCAACUUAGGACACAUUAGUCUCUAAACACAAUUUUAACACCCAAAAUAAUCUCGGACUAAUGGAUUAAUAUGUCUUAAUUUUUUAAUUUUCCAAAACUACUUGCAGACUUUUUUCUGAAUGUAACGGGUAAAAUAGAUUCUAGGGACGAAACCGAUAGAAUCGAGUCUCAAAGUAGGAAUUCUAAUAAAUUGAAUAGAAUUCGGUACAAAUGAGAAAUGUAAAGAUAAAUUGAGUUAUUUUUAGAGAAGAAGAUAAUUUGUUCAUUCCUUGAUUGAUUUUCAAAGUGAGGCACAAUGCCUUUAAAUACAACCCUAAAGGAUAAAAAUGUAAAAUGACAUAAAAUAAACUAUUAUUUAAAAUAAACUAUUAAUUGAUACUUAAUUCCUAUCACAAUACCCUCUCCUUCAAACAUCCUUGUCCUCAAGGAUGAACAAUCACAUGUGCCAUGUUUAAGAGGCAAGGCUUUCCAUUUGAUUAAAACUUUAGCAUCUCGAACAUUUCCCCUGUUGAUCAUCUUCCUGUGAAACACAACUACAAAAGCAAACCGAUUUAGCACUAGACGAGAUCGCUUUGGUGAAAAGUAGGCAGCAACGUAUCUGGUUGUGAAAAGUUUCAAUCCAAACACAUGGAACAAGUUCUGAGUCUCUAAAUUGUGAAAUGUAGUGGAUUUGAACAUUGAAGCCCCAUCUAGCUGAACUAUUGUAUUCCAAACCUCCACUCUCUUAAGCCUAUUUUUACCCAAGAGGGAUUGGAUCAUUCUCUUGAUUUGCAAAGAACCUGAGAGAACUAGCAAAUGCCCACAAUUCAAUUGCGAUGAUUCUUUUUUAUCAACAUCAGAAUUGUCCUUAUGAGCAACAAUUGCAAAACAAUAGUCUCUAAUCGAUCUAGCACUUAACUGGUAAUAUAUGCAUUGAAUUAGAGUAUUGUCAUCUGAAAAAGGAUCCACCGGUAUCCAAAAAGCUGCAGAGUUGUCAAAAGAUAGAAAAAUCCUUGCUAUAUCAAAUUUAACCCAAUUAUCACUAUCACAACACAGACCAAACCAAUUCAUAGUGUUACUCUUACCAACAUUAUUUUUUAACCGGAGAAUGGAACCCAAGGUUUCACUAUGCAUAAGAGUGGCCCAAGUACAAAAUAGCAAUUCAUAAUUCUCACAGAGCCAAGUAGAAAAAGAAUCCGAAGCAUAAUUCAUAUAAACUUCUACAUACCUAGGGUCUUGGAGUAGAAAAUUUUGAGCAGCAAGAUCAACUUCUCUAACAUGAACAUCAAUAGGAAUUAUAUUUCUGUCAAUAAUGGCAGCACCAACAUCCUCUAAAACCUUGUUAUUUGUUUGGUACUGAACUGUAAAUUGAUAGUAUUUGUCAAUGAAAUCAUAGGAAACAAAAACUUUAUCAUUAACAUGAAUGAUGACAUAUGUUGUUCCAUCAUUAUUCUUUUGGUUGUUCAAAGCAUAACCACCCUCAUUUUCAUCCUGUGAUAUGCAGUAACUCCUUUCAUGAUAUAAAGUAAAAUGCUCAUAACAUGACAUACUUAGAGCUCUUGCCAAUUGAUUUGCCACUUCUGUUAAAUGUGUCUUCAUCCCACCUAUGCACCUUGAAUUAUAAUUAGCAGGACACCUAUCACAGCAAUGUAAGGUCCCACUCAUGCUAUAAAGACAACAUCCAUCUCCAUUUAUGUUAAAAUCAUCUUCAUAAUCACCUGGACGUUUCACAACCUCUAAUUCUAAAAUAAACUGCAUAGUUUUUUUAUCUACAAAUUGAGUGUGUCUUCCAAAACAGCAAAACUCCAAAUAGUACAAGCUCAAUAACAUGUUGAAUAAGGUAUAGUUACCAGGACUAAUACACAUGCUAUUCAUGCCUUUGGAAAAAUCAAAAUCAACAAAUUCAGGUCCAUUACUAGUGCACUCAACAGUAGGGGAGGCAACCCAAACUGUCACCAUACUCUUUGGCAUUUGAUCAAACACUUGGAGGGGAUAAUCAUGGUCUUCAAGUGGAUCAUGGUAAGCACAAUAUAUAAACAAAUUUGUACCAUUCAAUAUAUAAAUCCACAUUCCUCUUAAAAGCCCUUUUUCCAUUUCAUCAUAAUACAUCCAAACACAGCUAGAAUCACAACCUUUAAUAAGAAAAUGGUAGUGAAAAACCUGGAAUAACACUUUCUUCCUCUGAAAAUACUGAUAUGGUGGUUUUGGCGGUGGUGUCGGAGUCGUAUUGCUGCACUGUGUGAACGGUAUUCUUGCUAGAAGCAUUUCUUUAUCAAACAAAUAUGUUUCCCAUGAUGAAUCUGGAAGUAAUGUUCUCAUUGUGACACUUGAAUUGUUGUUCUUUGGUGUCUUGAGAAGCAACCCAUCAGACAUGGAACGUUUCAUCUUUUCCCAAUCCAAUAUUGGGUCUUCCAUUCUCAACUCCCUUACCCAAAACCAUGAUAGCUGCAUCUUACAUAUUGGUGCGAGUCUUGCCUGUAACUGCAAUGGAUUCUCACAUGUCGUGGAGUCUCGGUGGUUGGUCUUUGGCGAACUCUCCUCAAUAGCAGCUCGGUGGAUGUUUCUUGAUGAAACUGAGGCGGCAACCUUGUCUGGUGGUUCCGGCAGCGGAAUUAUUGUCGGAAUCGAAACAGGGAGAACACAGUGGGUGUCGUAACCAUCGCUUGAGACAGACGAGGUUUCGUCGAGACACUCCAUUUUCGUGUUGAUUUUCAUGGUUUUGUCUUUAUCGUGCAAUUUAUCAGUGUCGUUGUCACCGAACUUCAAUGGGUCGACGGAAAACAUAGUUGAAUUGGUGAGGGAAGGAGAUUUUGGUGGAAUUGUGGUUGAACUAGGGGUUUUCUGAAUUUGCUCGUCUGUUUCUGGUUCAUGAACAUUUGUGUUGUGGUUGAAUGUAUCCAUACCUUGUGAUUUAGAAGGAACUAUGGUGGUUCUGGUGGUGAGGGAAUAAGCUUCUGCAGAUUUAGAACCACUAUCCAGUUCAGUUUCUUCUUCAUUUUCCUUCAUUAUCAUUUGAAUAUUUGUGUGAUGAUGCAAUUGAUGUUCCACAGAAAAAGGUUUAUCACAUAUGAAACAUAUACCCAUUUCCAUCUUUUCUUCAGCUUCCUCAACACUACAAAUUUUCACCAAUUUGUAUUUUGCACCCAUUAGCGCUGAAUCGAAUGCUCUAGAUACCAAUUGUAACGGGUAAAAUAGAUUCUAGGGACGAAACCGAUAGAAUCGAGUCUCAAAGUAGGAAUUCUAAUAAAUUGAAUAGAAUUCGGUACAAAUGAGAAAUGUAAAGANNNNNNNNNNNNNNNNNNNNNNNNNNNNNNNNNNNNNNNNNNNNNNNNNNAGGCACAAUGCCUUUAAAUACAACCCUAAAGGAUAAAAAUGUAAAAUGACAUAAAAUAAACUAUUAUUUAAAAUAAACUAUUAAUUGAUACUUAAUUCCUAUCACACUGAAGCACCGACUGAGGCUCCAUUUUGGAUAAACAACUUAACUAAACACUUAUAGCUUAAGCACUUAUUGUAUUAAAACUUAUAUAUAAACUAUUUCUAGCCAGAAAAUAAAAUAGUCAAAUUGUUUUCAUCUAAACUACAAGUGGUUUUUUUUUUUAAUAAACUAUAAGUGGUUUUCAUAAGAUAUCUUUGGAGGAAAUUAGGUGAAAACAAAUUAUGAACAUGUUAUAAGUUGUUUCCAUAAAGUCCCAAACAGUAUAGCUAGUGCUUAUAAACUCAAAUAAGAUGAUACAAAUAAUGCCUAGAUUGGGUGUCAUAUUUUUCUCAUUACUAUAUAGAAUGAGAAUUCGCUCAUAGAAUUACUCCUUGAGUCUCAUAUAUAAACAAAUAUUUCUUUUUCAGAUUCAUUGGAUAUCUGAUGUAUAUGUAUAUCUGAUCUAAUAUGAACUAGAUACAUUUGUUAUUCAAUGAACCCGAAAAAAUGAAUUUUUACUAAGACUAGAGGGAGUAAGAUAAAUAAAAAUAUGUGAAGUACCAUGAUAUUUGGUUGGACAGUAACAAUGAUGCCAUUUUCGACAUAAACAUCAGCAAGAUGUUGGUGGUGAGCGUUGACCACAGUACCACCUUUGAUCAACAACUUGGAUGAUGAUGAUGGAAUUGCAGUUCCACAUGUGGACUCUCCGUAUCCAAUUCCAGCUUCACAAAACUGAAUUCAAGAAUCAAAAUAAACACAUAAGUUCAGUUCAUGUGAUUAAAGUGAAAGUCAACAAGAGAAAGAGAGAUGUGAUUGACCUGAUUAGAGUGUUGUGAAGAUGAAGUGAUAAGAAAGAAGAAAAGAGAAAAGAUGGUAUGAAGAAGGAGUUGAAAACUGAAGCUCAUCAUCACUAUUCACUACUACUACACGACCAUAACCUCAGCAGCUGUUUCUAUAUUUUGAUAUUUAGAGCAGACAUGAACUCUCUCAACGUGGCACUUUAUUCAUCUAUGUUUUUUUAGUGAAAUCACGAUGAAGAAUAUAAAACUUGGAACAUGAUUAAAACUACUAACGAUAAAUUAAUAAAUUUAGUUGUAAUAUAUUAAAUUAGAAGUAGAUAUCCAAAAUAUUUUGUACGAGGUUUUUUUAUAAUAAAAAAAUAUGGAUCUUUGUUAGCUUAGAGGUAAGUAAAGUCUAUAUAAUCAAGUAAUAUUUUUUUAUGGUAAGUAAUAUUUAGUAAACUUAAUUGUUAGAAUUUGUAUUUUCUCUUGUUCUUUUGAUUCAGUCAUUUUUCAUUUUUCUGAUCUAAUGGACGAGUUGCUGAAAAAUGAAAUUUGUUAAAAGAAAUAUCUACUAAUUUGUUAAAAGAAAUUUUCUUUUGUUUGUGUUCUAACAAAACAUGAAUAUAUUUCCAAACUUCAAUGCAAAUUUUGUUAGAACACAAGCAAAUAAUAUAGUUUAUAAUUUGUAUUGAAGUUUUUUUUUAUGAUAAAAUGCUUAUAGCAUAUCAUUGAUUAAAAUGUGUUCAAUACAAUCGGGAAUAUCAUCCAUAAUUUGGACACUAGCUAAAAAUGGGGCCGCCGUAGCAAGCGCGUAAGCAACCUCAUUUGUUUGUCUCCUUACAAACUCAACACUAGAGUUUACAUAGAAAAUGAUCAAUCCCACCGCCCACCUGCAGGGCCCCAUUUAAAGCCAGAGUUUUUUUGCUCUGUAUGGACCUUGAGAUAAAUCAAACAUGAGACCUUGAGAGAAGCAUACUCCAAGGACCCAAGCUAAUACCACUAGACCAACCCCAAGUGAGUUUGUAUUGAAGUUUUUUGGUUGAAGUAUUGAAGUUUUUAUUAUGAAUGAAAUGAAUUGAAUUUUUAUUGUAAGAAAAAAUUGUAUGGAAAUGAAAGCAACACUUGUUUCCUUUAAGGGGGAAAAAAUAAUAAUAUUAUUGAGCAUAUUCAAGCGAAACAAAAAGGCUUAAUUAGUAAAAUGGUUCUUAAAGACAUUUUUGGUUUCAGAUUGGUCCCUUAAAGAAAAAAAAGGUCUGAAUAGGUCCUUUAAAGAAAAAAAAGUCCGAAUAGGUCCCUUGAAGACAUCUCAGUUAAUCAAUUUGGUCCCUAAAAAAAUGUCCGAAUAGGACCAAACUGAUUAACGAAUAUGUCUUUAAGGGACCUAUUCGGACAUUUUUUUCCUUUAUGGGACCUAUUCAGACCUUUUUUUCUUUAAGGGACAAAUGUGAAACCAAAAAUGUCUUUAAGGGACCAUUUUACUAAUUAAGUCAAAACAAAAAUUAUCUUAUUUUCCCCUUUCUCUCAUUGCUUUCAACACAAAUAUAAGCAAUGUGCAUUACAUGACAUCAGUGGAAAAGUUAACACAAAACACAUUUAUUUAUUCAACAUACAGUUGAAGCUUUCUAGUACACAAGUACACAUGUUUUUCCUUUGUUUGCAAGGGAAAACUAUACUAACACAAGUUACAACUAUUGUUUUCCUCCAUAGUAUAUAUUUCAGUAUAGAAAAUACCAAAAAAUUUAGGUUGUGGAUUUGGCUCUCUUUACUGGAGCUUGAAGGGAAUUUAGAUAAAUGGCAUCUUUUUUGUCGAAUCCAUCAAACAGAUAACUAUAAGGAGGCAUUUCUAUGUAUUUUCCAGUACCAGGAGCAACCUUCAG